AUCACUCGAAGACACUCAGUCGUCGAGGCAAUAGUAACAUGUUGAAAGCUGUGUUUGCAGUACUCAGGGUGUUCUUGCUGGUGAUUGCCGCUUUGGCCAGCGCCAUGCCGGAACCGGGAUACCGCAGCUAUGGCGGCGGACACGGCAGCGGCUACGGUGGACAUGGUGGCGGCUAUGGUGGAUAUGGUGGAGGCCAUGGCGGUGGCUACGGCGGCUACGGCUACGGACGCUGACAUGGACUGAAAGAAAUCUUUGCCUUGUUGUUUUGUGUUGAGGGAUGAAAGUGAACGAACCGUUGUGAAGCAACAAAUAAAAAAUUUCCUUUGUAA